GAGUUUGAUCAUGGCUCAGGACGAACGCCGGCGGCGUGCCUAACACAUGCAAGUCGAGCGAUGAAACCCCUUCGGGGGUGGAUUAGCGGCGGACGGGUGAGUAACACGUGGGUAACCUGCCUCAAAGUGGGGGAUAGCCUUCCGAAAGGAAGAUUAAUACCGCAUAAAGCCAAGUUUCACAUGGAAUUUGGAUGAAAGGAGUAAUUCGCUUUGAGAUGGACCCGCGGCGCAUUAGUUAGUUGGUGGGGUAAUGGCCUACCAAGACAGCGAUGCGUAGCCGACCUGAGAGGGUGAUCGGCCACAUUGGAACUGAGAUACGGUCCAGACUCCUACGGGAGGCAGCAGUGGGGAAUAUUGCACAAUGGGCGAAAGCCUGAUGCAGCAACGCCGCGUGAGUGAUGAAGGUCUUCGGAUUGUAAAGCUCUGUCUUUUGGGACGAUAAUGACGGUACCAAAGGAGGAAGCCACGGCUAACUACGUGCCAGCAGCCGCGGUAAUACGUAGGUGGCGAGCGUUGUCCGGAUUUACUGGGCGUAAAGGGUGCGUAGGCGGAUGUUUAAGUGAGAUGUGAAAUACCCGGGCUUAACUUGGGUGCUGCAUUUCAAACUGGAUAUCUAGAGUGCAGGAGAGGAGAAUGGAAUUCCUAGUGUAGCGGUGAAAUGCGUAGAGAUUAGGAAGAACACCAGUGGCGAAG
rnacentral:rRNA from 1 species